rnacentral:rRNA from 1 species
UACAGAGGGGGCAAGCGUUGUUCGGAAUUACUGGGCGUAAAGGGCGCGUAGGCGGCCUUCUAAGUCGAACGUGAAAUCCCUGGGCUCAACCCAGGAACUGCGUCCGAUACUGGGAGGCUUGAAUCCGGGAGAGGGAUGCGGAAUUCCAGGUGUAGCGGUGAAAUGCGUAGAUAUCUGGAGGUACACCGGUGGCGAAGGCGGCAGCCUGGACCGGUAUUGACGCUGAGGCGCGAAAGCUAGGGGAGCAAACGGG